AGUCAUAUCUGAAAUAUAAACAAACAAGCGCACAUUAGAAAAAACACGUUAUUGCAUAAAGAUUCGUAGCAAUAAUAUUGUAACCUUUUGAUAAAACAAUAUUAUUGAAACCUCCGUUAGCCCAAUCGAAUUACACGCAAGCCACGUUCGUGUGGACGUUUACGUGCUCUUCGUUUGACCAGACACCCAGUCUUUAGUCUCAUUCCAUUGCCAACUUAUCCUUAUGACAAAAUGGGACCAAUAAACGGACCUUGACUAGACCACGCA
rnacentral:lncRNA from 1 species